rnacentral:piRNA from 1 species
UAGGCAAGGGCGUGAUCUACUGUGGU